CUCUCCUUGAGAGCACUGCAGGAACAACAUGGGCAGAAGCAAGUCUCUGGUAUAUGCAUUAUAAACACAUUCUUUUGGAAUCUCAUCCUGGAUUGUAUUUUGACUUUGAUUAUAUUAGAAACGACUCUUUUCAAAGACUCAUCUCCAUGUGACUCCUGGCCCUGCUUCCAUGGCAGCCUUCAGCAGUGUUGUGGCUGUCCUGGCUUCUGCACAAGCUGCUUUGACUUUUCAUGGCUUUAAUACAGCCCAGUGCUAUCCCACACUGAUUUCACUCCUAAAAAUUAAAUAUUCCUUAUGUCA